rnacentral:rRNA from 1 species
UACAGAGGGUGCAAGCGUUGUUCGGAAUCAUUGGGCGUAAAGGGCGUGUAGGCGGUCUGUUAAGUCAUGUGUGAAAUCCCUCGGCUCAACCGGGGAACGACGCAUGAAACUGACAAGCUAGAGUACCAAAGAGGGGGGUGGAAUUCCCGGUGUAGCGGUGAAAUGCGCAGAUAUCGGGAGGAACACCAAUGGCGAAGGCAGCUCGCUGGGACGGUACUGACGCUGAGGCGCGAAAGCGUGGGGAGCAAACAGG